CCACUAUAGAAGCUGAGCCCUAGAAGACAUCCCGCAAGCACAUGCGGCUUUACUCCAAUGGAAAUGAUUACUGAGAGCCUGGCCUGAGCAAACCACCAACAGUCUACUUAACAGAAGUAGAGAGAUUUUAGAAGUAGGAAAUGCAUUUCAUGAUGUCUGCUUCCAGGACAAACUGCAGCCAAAGAAACACUUUCCGGAGUUGGUCUGAUCAAAUGUCUAUCUCAAGAACAAAGGCAGCCAGCCUUCACGAGGGCUCCUUUGCUCGGCUCACAUGAACUCAUCAGAAUCGUUACCAUCCUGUAGGAGACCAAGAGUGAAAGGUUCAGAAAGAC